GCUUUCGUGGUGUAGUGGUCAGCACGCUCGACGCGUAAUCAAGAGUUUCAUGGUUCGAGUCCCGGCGAGGGUA
rnacentral:tRNA from 1 species